rnacentral:rRNA from 1 species
GAUCAUGGCUCAGGAUGAACGCUGGCGGCGUGCCUAACACAUGCAAGUCGAGCGGAGAUAUUGAGGGAUUCUUUAGAUGAUCUCCUUAUCCUAGCGGCGGAUGGGUGAGUAACACGUGGGUAACCUGCCCUGCACAGGGGGAUAACAGCUGGAAACGGCUGUUAAUACCGCAUAUGCACACGCUGCCGCAUGGCAGAGGGUGGAAAGAUUUAUCGGUGCAGGAUGGGCCCGCGUCGGAUUAACUAGUUGGCAGGGUAACGGCCUACCAAGGUUAUGAUCCGUAGCCGACCUGAGAGGGUGACCGGCCACAUUGGGACUGAGACACGGCCCAAACUCCUACGGGAGGCAGCAGUGGGGGAUAUUGCACAAUGGGCGGAAGCCCUGAUGCAGCGACGCCGCGUGAAGGAAGAAGUAUUUCGGUAUGUAAACUUCUAUCAGCGGGGAAGAAGAUGACGGUACCCGACUAAGAAGCCCCGGCUAACUACGUGCCAGCCGCCGC